AGUUGCUUUGAUGGAUAUAAUUGUUACUGCCUGGAAAUUGAUUAAGCGUCUAUGGCAGGGCUCUCCAACCCUGUUCCUGGAGAGCUACCGUCCUGUAGGUUAUCACUCCAACCCUGUUCCUGGAGAGCUACCGUCCUGUAGGUUAUCACUCCAACCCUGUUCCCGGAGAGCUACCGUCCUGUAGGUUAUCACUCCAACCCUGUUCCUGGAGAGCUACCGUCCUGUAGGUUUUCACUCCAACCCUGUUCCUGGAGAGCUACCGUCCUGUAGGUUUUCACUCCAACCCUGUUCCUGGAGAGCUACCGUCCUGUAGGCUUUCACUCCAACCCUGUUCCUGGAGAGCUACCGUCCUGUAGGUUUUCACUCCAACCCUGUUCCUGGAGAGCUACCGUCCUGUAGGUUUUCACUCCAACCCUGUUCCUGGAGAGCUACCGUCCUGUAGGUUAUCACUCCAACCCUGUUCCUGGAGAGCUACCGUCCUGUAGGUUUUCACUCCAACCCUGUUCCUGGAGAGCUACCGUCCUGUAGGUUUUCACUCCAACCCUGUUCCUGGAGAGCUACCGUCCUGUAGGUUAUCACUCCAACCCUGUUCCCGGAGAGCUACCGUCCUGUAGGUUUUCACUCCAACCCUGUUCCCGGAGAGCUACCGUCCUGUAGGUUUUCACUCCAACCCUGUUCCUGGAGAGCUACCGUCCUGUAGGUUUUCACUCCAACCCUGUUCCUGGAGAGCUACCGUCCUGUAGGCUUUCACUCCAACCCUGUUCCUGGAGAGCUACCGUCCUGUAGGUUUUCACUCCAACCCUGUUCCUGGAGAGCUACCGUCCUGUAGGUUUUCACUCCAACCCUGUUCCUGGAGAGCUACCGUCCUGUAGGUUAUCUAGCACACUCGAUUCUAAUAAUGGUUGAAAAGCCGAAUCGGGUACGUUGCAAAUGGGGUUGGAGCGAAAACCUACAGGAGGGUAGCUCUCCAGGAACAGGGUUGGAGUGAAAACCUACAGGAGGGUAGCUCUCCAGGAACAGGGUUGGAGUGAAAACCUACAGGAGGGUAGCUCUCCGGGAACAGGGUUGCAGAGUCCUGGUCUAUGGGGUGUGAUGUCAAUGUCUUUAGUUAGAGUGCUUUUUGUGGAAUACCCUUUGAUAUGAGGAGGACACACACAGACUGAUGGAGGAGAUGCAGUAGUGUGGAGUGGAGACACAAACAGCAGGAAGACAAGUGAAUCGGACCACUUACAUGGGUACAUUGGACGCGCACGGGAAACUGACUUCUUCAAAGCGCAGAGUUUUAUUCCAGACAAAAAGAAGUACACUUCGAUGUAAUAGAAUAGGCCACCGCAGAGAUCAAUACUACACUCUGUGUAGAACCAACAGCCAUGCACACUUAGGGUUCCAAAUGGACUAGCUAGGAGAACAAUCGCUACAAAUUCCCAUGCACUGACAGACUUUAGUCAACAACAUGAAAUAAAUUAUUGAAUCCAAUCAACAACGAUUGCCUUUUGUUGUUUUAUGGAUAAACAGACCUUCAUAAAAGUAGUAAGGCAUUUUUAACUUUGAGAAGAUGUCAUGCUAAACAACCAGACGUCCACAUCACUAUCACCAAAAAUCAUCUAGUCUUAACAAAAUAGCCGAUAUAAAAGACAUGCAAGAAAUCCCAGACUGUCUGCACCAGCGCUGCAGUGACAGCCAUGUUACAACACCAUAGUAUUAUCAUGCACACAUACUUCCAAGAAAUCCCAUGCAAAAGGACAGCAAACUGAAUAUUCACACCCCUGAUUUCAAAAACAAUCUGGUAAAAUACUACCAUGGUAUAUCUUUCAGAGUUUCCUAAGCAAAACCAUGUGUUAGGAAACUGAAAGACAUACUACGGUAGUAUUUUAAGCAAAACAAUGUGUAAUCUAAGCCUAGCCUAGUACGGGACCAUUAAAACAUCUAAACAUUCCUCAUGUCAGAACAUUGCCUCUAAGCUUAGCCAGUUUUAAAAUUAGCGUCUUCACAUGUUAGAAUAACAGCCAGUAAAAAAAGAAAGGAAUAAUAUAUAACUUAAAUGAUAUUACCAAGGACAAAGCUAGGGUUGCAAACAACUUCUAGGAGAGAGAAGAAACGUCACAUAGCAGUGCCUCAAAGGAAUGCUGGGCUUUUCCUCUGUUGAAUGAGUGUAUAAAUACAGAACAACCUUUAUUUGCCCUCAGUCUGUACGGCUGUUCUAUCCCAUGCACUAGUCAAACACAGACAAACCUGAUGACAGACACUCCUGUUGACCCCAUGCAGAUUACAAAGGCCUGGCCACAGCUUCAGAGAGUGCAACUACUGUCACACAUGCAGCAAUGAUAAAAGGUGAAGGGGAGAGAGAGAGAGAGACAAACUUCCUUACAAUUAAAGUGAUAAAGUUCAUGCAUGAAAUAAGAAGAUACUCCAAAACAGACACAGAGGUUACAGAACCACCAGGGCCAAACAAAUAGGUUGUUGAUUUAUAGAAGUUUAACUGAUGUGGGUUUUCAUUGGGCUCCAUCAGUAUCCAUUCAACUUGCUGAUUGACUGAAGGUGAAAUGUAGGGUUUAUAGACCAUUGGAUGCAGGUGUCAUUCAGAACCAGAUGUUUGAGAGCUGACAGAUGAAACCCAAGCGGGUCCAGCCAUCACCAUCAUGCAGGACACAACUACCACAGUUACCCACAGCAAGGAGGCAGGAGCCCAUGCAGAAUCGUGAUUGGCUAAGAACCUGGCUUAAAAUAGAUCUUCUCCAGAGAUGGGCAGGAUAUCACUGGCACGCAAACUGACAAUAUUUCAAAGAAAAACAUGCAUCUUCUCAGCUUCUCCCCAACCCUGAAACAGUCACAUACGAGCCAAAGCUUCAUUUUGAAAAAUGAUAGUGAAAGGAGGGAGCUAAAUAUGAAAUAUAUGGCGUAGUUAUUUUACAGAUUGAGAGGAGAGCACUGUGCUGCAUGCUGGAGGCCAGGAGCCAUAAGCUUGUCACUAGCACUUUGCAGCACGGGGAGGAAAAAAAGAACAUUCUAGACUAGGAACUAAGAUAUGAUCAACCUGGCUACAAUCGGCCAUGCAUCAUCGUCUCAUCACGCUCUCCUAAAGUCCCGCGGUUCCAGCAACAGAGAAAGAUGAUUUAGAUUGUAUUUUGAAAUCAAAGCAGUGGAAGCUAUAAUAAGAAAUAAGAAAUGGUGCAAGACAGAACCGAGACCUAAACGAUUUAGAAAGCGAAAACUUCCCAGCAUGCCUUAAGGUGUCAACUCUCCUCCCCGCCCCAAAUGAACCAGGAAACAAGAAACACCCCAAAAAAAGGCAGCAAACCAUCUGGGGGGUACCAGCAGAGACCACAUCAGAGCAUGUCAGUGGAAAAGGAUGGCAGCUAGCGGAAUCAGUGUACAGGCAGAGGAACGAUGGUAGAAGGAGAGGAUGGG